CCUACGGGAGGCAGCAGUGGGGAAUAUUGCACAAUGGGCGAAACCCUGAUGCAGCGACGCCGCGUGAGUGAAGAAGUAUUUCGGUAUGUUAAGCUCCGUCAGCAGGGAAGCAAAUGACGGUACCUGACCAAGAAGCCCUGGCUAACUACGUGCCAGCAGCCGUGGUAACACGGAGGCGGCAACCGUUAUCCGGAUUUACUGGGCGUAAAGGGAGUGUAGACGGCAUGGCAAGUCUGGAGUGAAAGGCGGGGGUUCAACCCCCGGACUGCUGUGGAAACUGGCAGGCUGGAGUGCAGGAGAGGUAAGUGGAAUUCGUGGUGUAGCGGUGAAAUGCGUAGAUAUUAGGAGGAACACCAGUGGCGAAGGCGGCUUGCUGGACUGUAACUGACGUUGAGGCUCGAAAGCGUGGGGAGCAAACAGGAUUAGAUACCCGUGUAGUC
rnacentral:rRNA from 1 species